GCGGCCGCGCCCAUGGCGAGCAGCAGCGGCGGCAGGUAGGGACGGGCGGGACGGGGGCCCGCUCUCCCGGUCAUGGCGCAGACGGAGCCCCCGAAGGCGGUGCGGCUGUGGCGCGACGCCGCCCUGCGCGCACGGAAGCUGCGGGUCGGCGCCGGCGAGUCCGAGCCCGAGCUCGAGCCGGACGCGGGGCCGCCGGGGGGGCCACCGCCGCCGCUCCCUGAUGCCGCCGCGUCUCGUCGCCCGCCCCCGGCGGCGGCGCUGGGGGAGCUGGAGGCGCUGAACCUGAGCGGGCGGGGGCUGGAAGAGCUGCCCGAGGAGGUGGGCGCCGCCCUGAGCGGGCUGCGGGUACUCAGCCUGCGGCGCAACCGGCUGUGCCGCUUGCCCGCCGCCGCCCUGCGCCACCUGAGCCGCCUGGCCGAGCUUGACCUGAGCCACAACCGGCUGCGGGGCCUGGGGGACGGAGGGGCGCUGGUGGAGCUGCGGGGCCUGCGCAAGCUCAGCCUCAGUCACAACGAGCUAGGCGCUGAGGGCCCAGGCCUGCCCCCACGCCUCGCCGAGCUGGGCCGCCUUGAGGAGCUCGACCUCAGCUUCAACCGUCUGCGUCGCUUGCCCGAGGGCCUCGGCCGCCUGCGGCAUCUCCGCGCCCUAGACAUCGACCACAACCUUCUGUCCUCCUUCCCUACCCCGCUGCUGGAGUUGGCUGCCCUGGAGGAGCUCGACUGCUCCGGCAACCGGCACCUCGGGGCCCUCCCCGAGGGUAUUGCCGCUCUUCGACGUCUCAAGAUCCUCUGGCUGAGUGGUACUGGGCUGGCAACCCUUCCCGAGGGCCUCUGCCAGCUGAGUGCCCUCGAGAGCCUCAUGCUGGAUAGCAACCGGCUACAGGCCCUGCCUGCUGGCUUUGGCAGCCUGCAGCGGCUCAAGAUGCUGAACCUUUCCUCCAAUCUGCUGGGGGAGUUCCCUGCUGCUAUCUUGUCAUUGACCAGUCUAGAGGAGCUCUACCUGAGCCGCAACCAGCUCACCCUGCUUCCACCUCGCCUCUGUCAGCUACACCAGCUCCGCACCCUCUGGCUGGACAACAACCGUAUCCGCUACCUGCCUGACUCCAUCGUGCUCCUCCACAGCCUGGAGGAGUUGGUCCUGCAAGGCAACCAGAUUGCCAUUUUGCCUGAGGGCUUUGGGCAGCUUUCCCGCAUUACCCUAUGGAAGAUCAAAGACAAUCCCCUCAUCCAGCCCCCCUAUGAGGUGUGUAUGAAAGGCAUCCCCUACAUUGCUGCUUACCAGCAGGAGCUGGCCCACUCCCAGCCUGCUCUCAAACCACGCCUCAAGCUGGUCCUCAUGGGCCUUAAAGAUGCAGGGAAGACCCUGCUGAGACGAUGCCUCAUGGAGGAGGAUGGGCAGAGGAAGGAAGCGGCGAGUUUGGAGGCAGGGAACAACCAGCCCAGGGGUUGCCCUGGGCAGCAACAGGAUAUUGGGACAGUGCCAGUUGGGCAUUGCCCCUUCCUGGAGCCUCAGGACACUUCCUCAGCAUGGGUACCUGACAUGCAGCAGCUGGAACAUCUCCCUGUUGAGCAGCAGGACAUCCCUUCUCGUGCCCCCUCUUGCCGGUUGAAAGGGGAAGCACUGUGCCCUGCAUCAUCACUGCCACCAAACGCUCCCCAAGUAGCAUCAGGACUGGGACUGUUGGGAGGUAGCAAGGGCAUUGAAGUGAUGGACUGGACAGCAGAUGCAGAGAGGGGCCUGACAUUCAUUGUGUAUGAGCUGGCAGGGGACCCGAGCUAUGAUGUGAUUCAGUCAUUCUUCCUCUCUCCCGGAGCCCUGUAUGUACUGGUGGUGAAUUUGAGUGCCUAUGUCCCUCAGCACUUCUACGCCUCUGUGGGCUACUUCUUGCACUGGCUUGGUUCCAAGGUGCCCCAUGCUGUGGUCUGCAUGGUGGGAACCCAUGCUGACCUCUGUGCAGAGCGGGAGUUGGAAGAGAAGUGCCUGGACAUCCAUCACCAGAUUGCUCAGCAGGAGAAGAGGGAUGCUGAAGGACUCCAGAGCUUGGUCCAGCAGGUGGAUGAGGCUCUGGGACAGGACUUUGACCUGCGCUGCUCCAGCCCGCAUGCUGCCUUUUAUGGGGUCUCGGACAAGAACUUGAGGCGAAAGAAAGCCCAGUUUCAGUACCUUCUCAACCACCGCCCUCAGAUCCUGUCUCCAGUAUUGCCUUUCAGCUGCCGGGACCGUUGCCAAGUGCGUCGCCUGCGGGACAAGCUCCUCUCAGUGGCUGAGCACCGUGAUAUCUUCCCAAACCUGCACCGUGUGUUGCCCAAAUCCUGGCAAGUGCUGGAGGAGCUGCACUUUCAGCCACAAGCUCAGCAGCUGUGGCUUAGCUGGUGGGACUCUGCCCGGUUGGGCUUGCAGGCAGGCCUGACAGAGGAUCGACUCCAGAGUGCCCUGUCCUACCUGCAUGAGAGUGGGAAGCUGCUGUACUUUGAAGAGCACCUCACCUUGCGGGAGUAUGUGUUCCACAACCUGCCACGGCUCAUUGACAUCCUCAAUGUCUUCUGCCAGCGUGAUGCCACUGUGCUGCUCCAGAAACUGCUCAGCGAUUCCCACAUUGAUGAACUGAGGGCCACUCAGCUCCAUCAUUAUGUGGAGGGCUUCUUGUUGCAUGGCCUCCUCCCUGCCCAUGUUAUCCGUCUCCUUCUUAAGCCCCACAUCCAGAGCCGGGAGGAUCUGCAGCUCAUCCUGGAGCUGCUGGAGAAGAUGGGGCUCUGUUACUGUGUCAACAAACCCAAACGCAAGCCCCUAAAUGGGGCAGCUGCUUGGUACAAGUUUCCCUGCUACGUGAAAAACGAGAUGCCCCAUGCAGAGGCAUGGAUCAAUGGCACCAAUCUGAGCGGACAGUCCUUCGUGGUGGAGCAGCUGCAGAUUGAAUAUAGCUUUCCAUUCAUUUUCCCACCCGGCUUGUUUGCACGCUACAGCGUCCAGAUUAACAACCAUGUGGUGCAGCGGUCUGAUGGCAAGUACCAGGUCUAUGCCUACCGGGGUAAGGUGCCUGUGGUAGUGAGUUACCGGCCUGCCAGGGGAGCUCUGCAGCCAGAUACUCUGUCUAUUGCUAGUCAUGCAUCCCUACCAAAUAUCUGGACAGCUUGGCAAGCUAUUACUCCUUUAGUAGAAGAACUGAAUGUCCUGCUCCAGGAAUGGCCGGGCCUGUACUACACUGUGCACGUCCUCUGUUCAAAGUGCCUUAAAAGAGGGUCACCAAACCCCCAUACUUUCCCAGGAGAACUACUGAGUCAGCCGAGACCAGAGGGAUUGACAGAGAUCAUCUGUCCCAAGAAUGGCAGCGAGCGAGUUAAUGUUGCCUUGGUUUACCCCCCCACUCCUACUGUGAUCAGCCCUUGUUCCAAAUAAAUCGCCAGUGCUGGUGCCAAAGGUUUUCCAUCAGGCAGAACUUGGCUGACGCUCUGCAGUGCUCCCAUCUCUCCAGUUGUGGAGUUGCAUGCUGACAAGGAUCGAUGGGACUUUGGACUCUGAAACACUGUGGGACAGGGGCAGCUCCCAGGUGGGGGCCUCCUAGCUGGAGUGGAUGCAGUCACCUGGAGACUGGGGACAACAACAAGGCAUGAAGCAAAUGAUUGCUGCAGAUGUCAGGGCGGCUGGCCAGAGGGGAAGCGCUGGGGAUAGGAUUCUGUGGACCCAUUGAUCGUGUGUUGAAAACCCAUUUGGAUCUCAUGAUGAAUGUAAAAAUGUUCUUGGUACCGUUUAAUUCAGACCUGCUUUGGAGGAAAGUCUCUUGAAAUGAGCUGUAGCGGGAUUCCCUGGAUUUGUUCCUGGACAAGAAGAAACUAAAGAUUUGUUCCUGUGACCUUUUGUGGAAACCACGUUGCAAAGAAACCACAAAGUGGAGUCCUUUUCCAGCUGGAGGCCUGUUUCCCAGUGCACCCCAUCUGGUCUGGGAUGCAUAAGCAUUGAAGGAGUGAGAGAACAGAACAGGUGUCUUACAGCCUGCUCCUUGGGACUGCAGCCUUUCUACCAGGGCAUGCCACCUAAGCAGGAGCACAGCAUUACCUGGCCUUUGCAGGCACUCAGUCUGCUGUCUGCACUGAAGCUGUAAUGCUGGGAGUGUGGCCAUGUGGAGAUCAGUCUAGUUGGGUCUAUUUAAUAUGUAAUGGUGAUUGCUCAUCUGCCCACUGUUUAGUAACUGGUGUAACUAUUUUCAUCUGUAUUUUUUUAAUAUGCAAAAGCCAUUUAAUUUUCUAUGCAGUUCAAACCAGCUCCCCUUUGCAACUGCAAAGUGGGAGAUCUGUGCAGGAGAACCAGGCCGAGUGGCUGAUGUUCCUUUUGAUUUUACUGUUACUCUCUCUUAAGGACAUGUCCUCGAAUCCUCUGCACAGAGUCCCUUUGCUGAGCUCCUGCCUCUUAGACCCUGCUUAACAUCCCUGAGCCUCAGGGAUAAGGGCCCUGUAUUUUUGCAGGAUCUGUUGUUUUUCACGAGUCAGACUGCAAGGAAAUCAGGCAUGGAGGCAAUGCCCUUAAGAGCAGAGAUACCUGAGUUCAGAGCAUCUAUUGUGUUCCUGUUCUUGUCCCCUCUUGGAGAGAUACUGAACUGUUAGAAACAACUAAGGCCUCUGUGGAGCACCCUGCAGCCUUUACUGAAAGUGUGUUAUGAAGAGGGCAGAAAGAACUGGGGCAUAAAUUGUCUCACUGACAGUGAAUUUAAAUCCUUUGGAACAGGAGGAGGAUCUCCUGGUACUACAUCACUACUUCAAUCGAGAGGACUGCACUGUUUUUGCGUAUUGCAAUGUUUGCAGACCCCUUGCUUGCUGACCAGUUAUUUCCUGAGUAAACUGGUGUAGAAAGGUUGGAAGCAGAGCUGGCAAGUUGCUUUGCACUGCAGGACUUUCAGCAACUGGAACGUGUCCUGGAGUACCUGUUAUGCUCUGAAGCAAAACCUGGGAUUCAAACCUGCAUCUGUCCAAGUGCAAUUCGCAGGAUAGCAGCAGAUAGACCCUUCUGCAUGUCCCUAAGGAGCACAAAUUUGUGGUGGAGUGAGAGGGAGCCCAGAGGCUGAUGCUGUACAUCUGUCUCAUCUCUGGGCUUGCUGGGGUAGUUGGAGGCCUCUGGCAACUGCAGAUGGUCCUGAGUGAUGGGAUACCUCUACUUUAUCUGUGAUAAAGGCAAAACUAUCAGAGAAAUAAGAUUGUUUCCAAUCUGCCACAAGGUCAGAAUGCAUUUGACUUUUGUGGCAGUGCUGCUCUUUUGCAUUCCGCCUCUGCUCUGAGCUUGGGGGGGACUCAGCUUUAAACAGAAACAGAGACCAGACUGCAAUUUAACCUGUCUUGUUUCUUGAAUCACAUGGAAGAGUAUGGGGGCUGCAGAAGGAUCGGUCAUCUCCCUUGCAGUAUCCCCCAUGCUACAGUUCCACCGUGGCUGUGAAAACUCAAUAGUGUAUUUGGGUGCUGCUUUCCCAGGAACCCAAGCUCCACUAAGUUGUGCCCUAGCACCAGAGCUUACACAGGGUCCCCGGUCGCUUCCCCUUUCUCUCUCUGAGAGAGUUAAAAUUGUCAGCAGUAGGGGCUGCUCGCUCCAAGAAGCCAGAUAUGUCUCUGUUAAAUGGAAUUGCAAAUGUAUUUAGGAGCUCACCCACUGGCUCACUCCUCUAGAGCCAGAUUCUGGACCUCAGCUCUUCCUAUGCCCUUCAGAUUGGAUCUUGGGCUGGCAACCUUGAAAUGGCAGUGUGGGGAGGUAGAGAUGCUGCACUGCAGUAAGCACAAAAAGAGGCAAGCAAGUGGGCCUCAGUGUAGCACUCAUCAUGCACUUCAUGGCUCAGUUCAUGGACUGUAAUUGCAGGUAUUCAUAUAAUCUACAUCACUGGGCAGGACUCUGCGCACACACACAUGCACACGCGUACACACACCACACCCACACUUGUGCACAUAUCCUCGCCAAAAUGACUGAAAAUAAAAGUGAUCUCAGUCUCAAAAAGGGGCCUGGCUGUUUGAUUUGGGUUUUCUCUUUUAGUGCCUCCUUGAGCCCUGUCU